ensembl:lincRNA
CAGGCCGGCUGACUGAGGGCGAUCACGGUCCCCGAAAGGGCUGCGGGCGACGCGGGCUCCCAGCUCGGGGCUCCGGGACGAGGGCGAGAGGUGCCAGCAGCCCCCAAGCCAGUCCCCCGCAAUGAGACAGAGAGACCCGCCCUCCGCCUCCUCCCACUGAAGCCUCUGGCAGUCCCGGCGAUCGGGCCGGGCCAGUUACAGGAGAAAGGGGCGCAUUCGCCCCGCCCGGGAACCGGGGCCUCUCCCGGGCAGGCUCCUCUUUGUCCAGGUACUUCCAGAGCCUCCUCUCCGCCCUCGCCCUGCCCCUUGGGGCCGCCGCUGGGCGCUGACACGGACACGGACACACAGACAGGGACAUCUUACCCUCAUCUCCGGCGGCAGGGGCGUGGAAGCACCAGCCAUGUGCCUAGAGUUAACUGUGUCAAGAAGAGCAUGCUUCAAGUGGCUGGAGUGAGCAGUUCAACUUGUGGAGGAAUGAGAAAUAACAGUGCUGAGACAAGAAACACAACACCCCAGGGUAAGAUAGGAAUCACUGAAAGUCAGUCAAAGGAACUGGCAUCCAGUGAUGAGUCAGGCUUUGCCAGCCUCUGGCCCUACAGAUGGCUCUUUGGAGAGGAAAAAAUUAAGCCAGUCCCAAGGGCACAGAUCGUAAGGGAAGGCCGGCAGCUCUAG